CGAACCCGGAAGUUAAGCCCUCCAGCGCCGAUGGUACUGCACCGGGGACGGUGUGGGAGAGUAGGACACCGCCGGAC
rnacentral:rRNA from 1 species